GGAGAGUGAGCACCGGGUCAUUGCCCUCCACCUCCCACCUGGUCUCCUCUCUUCCCGCCUCCUCCCACGAAACCCUAGCCGCCGCGCCGUGCAGCCGCCGCCGCCGCGCCCUCCUCCUCCUUCCACCUCCUGGCCGGCGCCCAACCACCGCGCCCUCUCCCUCCCCCUACCGCCGGCCUCUCCCUAGGUGGUGGCCAGAUCUGCCACGGCCACAGCCACGAUGGGGGCUUCUGGAUCCGCGCCGCCGUCGAGCUGGGCGCGACCAAUAACCUCGGACCACACCGCCGCCACCAUGGAUGCACCAUAUCAAGGUCGCAAUGGCUGACAAAGAGCUUCACGUUCAUGGUUCACCAGGUUCUGCUGGCUCCACUAACAGUUGCCUGCAAGCACUUGCACAGGUCAGCUGAGAUACGUCUUGCACACCUACGAGUUGAUUCUUCUAGGGAUCUAAUUUUCUAAACGAACUUUCAGUUGCAAUGCACAAAUAUGUUGCUAGAUGAGGUUUAGAACUUAGUUGGCAGAAGCUAUUUUAAGAUUAGUAUAUUGUAGUAUUUCUCUAAGGGAAUUCUGUGAAUAUUUGGUCAUUGCCAACAAAUCUAAAAUAGAAUGGAAGUGAUUGUUUGGAAUGGAUAUUACUCUGCUGCUCAUGUCUGUUACUUUUCUUGCAUACAAUAUUUUGCUUACAUGUUUACUAAUAAACUUCUGUGAGGACCCCUGCUGGAGACAUACGGAGUUGAGGAAUAAUGCAAGUGAAUGGAGCUUGUUGAGUUGUUGUUCGCCUGAUCAUACGUGAUACGUCGAGUGUGAACUACCCAUUCUCCCCUCUCCUACAGUCUGUAACAAAAGCGUUAGGCCUGAGUGUGCGAGUCUGUGAGAGUAGAUGGUAGGUCAUUGGAUAUAAAAGGGGCCUUUAGUAGUCCAUUUAUCUUUCCAGAAUGAAGUUGGAAGAGCACGAGCUCCUCUGCUCCACCCUUCGGAUCCCUUCCUCUGUAGUAUUUAGUUUCUUUGUUAUACGUUGUAUUUAGUUAGUACUUUUCAGAUGGCUUAACUCCCUUUCUCUGUAGUAAUUGGAGCCCAUAAGUGGAGGUGUUUGUUCCUCAUAUGCAACCUUAUUAUCUGAUAUAUAGAUUGGGAAACACAGCAGGAGUUUGAGUUUAUUUUCAUUCAGUAGAACACAACAACAGUAGUAGACUCCCGUAAAAACCAGCAGUCGAACUGAACUAGAAUACUGUGUGUAUUUUAGCUUAAGCAAUCUAGGAUUCACUCCUGGAUGUUAGAGCAACAUAUUUCAAAAUGUAAUUAAUUAAUGUUGCUUCCCACAAAGUAUAUUUCUUUUGUUUCAAUAAGCAUUAUGCACAACUCGAUGCUUGGUGCGACGUCGGAGUUCAUCUUAUUAUAUGAAUAUAGUGGUUGGCAUGCUCAAUUCGUCCUCAUUGGCAUCUGAACCUGAGGCUCCUGACUUACUCAAAUGUUCUCCGGUCAUUUCCCCCUCUCCUACAAAUGUGAUCAAUUUGGCAUGGGUAUGCGUACAGUUGGAAUGAGGCACCAUGGGAAGGAUUCAAAUCUCUGAGAAGUGUGCUAAAUCAAUAGUGCCAAUCGGUUCAGUUUCAGCUUCGAAAACAUUAGGUGAUUGAAAAUGGCAUGCUAUAUUUCUGCAACAAGGCUCCCUAAAUAUUCCCUAUGUUCUAAACUGGAUUCUGACAAGGGUAAAGAUAUGUGAGACAUCCCUCAUUUUAUUUUAAGACCAUUACUUUUUUACCUACCUCUCCUCAUAUAAUCUCUAACAUGGACGGCUCUCUAUUCUCUGUGGUUUAAGGUGUACACCCUGCUAUUUGGUCAGAAGUUCGGGAGUUCAUACUUGGUUGUUUGAUCUCAAGAACACCUUUGAUGACCACGAGCAAAUUGGGCGAACCAGAAGGUACUUCUAGGACACGGACAAUUUCCCUCAAGGUCAAGACCUCACAUCAACCCUUCCAAGCCCCUGAUGAGUGUGUUCCUUUUUUUUAAGUUUCUCAAUGUCACCUCUAUAGGUUUACUUGAGAUGUUAUGUUGCAUAUGUUGUGCUGAGGUUUUCCCACUUCCCUUUUAACUUCUCUGAAGUUGAUCAUCACAUGUUUAUGCAAUUGGACCAAAGCAACGACAUUACUUACAGCUUACCUGGUUAACAUAACAGUUAUGAACUAGGAUGAACUUAUACAUGCAGAGAGAGAGAGAGAGAGGUUGUUUAAAGAAUCCGGUGUCUUUGUGUUUGCCUACAGAAUUCAAUAUUUGUUCAUGUGGUGAUCCUCGGCCUCUCUCUCUCUCUCUCUCUCUCUCUCUCUAUGUGUGUGUGUGUGUGUGUCCUGACUCUUUGUGCCUGUGUUGACCCUUUGUUUGUCCAUGCGAUUUUACUGUGGACUACUCUUUCUAAUUUGGCAUAUAGAUAGGUCAUUUUUAGAUAUUCUAUAGGGUGAUUACUGUUGUUGCAGCGCUGGAUGGCAUGUAGCAGUGCUAGAUCCGGUGGUCAGCCGUCGCCGUUGCCUGUCCUCUUUGAUGCGAGAUCCACGCUGCUCCACUCAGUCCAGGCUGCUGGCAUCAUGGAGCUUGAUAAGGUUUCCGGCUGGUUCGCCACAUAACUUGCAGUCCAGGUCGUUAACAUAUUCGGGUUCUAGGUCACAGAAACAAAAUUUGGAGUUAUUUUAUCUGGCUCAAAAUGUUUUGGCUCAGCAAUUUGCUGCAUUAGAUAUCUUUUUGUGCUUAUUUUUUUUGUGAAUUCUACAAUUUGUAGCAUUGAGCUAAACUGACGUUUGUUUUAGUUAACUUACAUUCCUAGAUGUUUUUAAACUGAUAUUAUUUCCAUAAGUUCAGGUUUGUACUUGGCUUUAUCAGAAUUAGAAUAUGCAGAACAUGUGUUGGAGAAGUGCCCAUUUGGUUUUAUGAAAUAA